rnacentral:ncRNA from 1 species
CCGAACGGGCGUGGCGAUUUGUUACCGGAUUGCGGGCCACGUUAAACAAGCCGCUAAAGAGGUGUAGGUCAUCCGUGG